GAUGAACGCUGGCGGCGUGCCUAAUACAUGCCAGUCGAGCGAACGGACGAGAAGCUUGCUUCUCUGAUGUUAGCGGCGGACGGGUGAGUAACACGUGGAUAACCUACCUAUAAGACUGGGAUAACUUUGGGAAACCGUAGCUAAUACCGGAUAAUAUUUUGAACCGCAUGGUUCAAAAGUGAAAGACGGUCUUGCUGUCACUUAUAGAUGGAUCCGCGCUGCAUUAGCUAGUUGGUAAGGUAACGGCUUACCAAGGCAACGAUGCAUAGCCGACCUGAGAGGGUGAUCGGCCACACUGGAACUGAGACACGGUCCAGACUCCUACGGGAGGCAGCAGUAGGGAAUCUUCCGCAAUGGGCGAAAGCCUGACGGAGCAACGCCGCGUGAGUGAUGAAGGUCUUCGGAUCGUAAAACUCUGUUAUUAGGGAAGAACAUAUGUGUAAGUAACUGUGCACAUCUUGACGGUACCUAAUCAGAAAGCCACGGCUAACUACGUG
rnacentral:rRNA from 1 species